rnacentral:rRNA from 1 species
ACGGGAGGCAGCAGUAGGGAAUAUUGGGCAAUGGAGGCAACUCUGACCCAGCAACACCGCGUGAAUGAUGAAGGUCUUCGGAUUGUAAAGUUCUGUGAGGGAGGACGAAGAAAGUGACGGUACUCCCAUAGCAAGCCACGGCUAACUACGUGCCAGCAGCCGCGGUAAUACGUAGGUGGCAAGCGUUGUCCGGAAUGACUGGGCGUAAAGGGUACGUAGGUGGCUAAUCAAGUUAGUUGUGAAAUCCCGGGGCUUAACUCCGGUGCUACAAUUAAGACUGUUUAGCUUGAGUGCAGGAGGGGUAAGUGGAAUUCCUAGUGUAGCGGUGGAAUGCGUAGAUAUUAGGAGGAACACCAGUGGCGAAGGCGACUUACUGGACUGUAACUGACACUGAAGUACGAAAGCGUGGGGAGCAAACAGGAUUAGAUACCCUGGUA